rnacentral:misc_RNA from 1 species
UAAUCUCACUACGAUCGACUUUAUUGGUCUUUUCGUAUGUGGACUUGGACGUUGCCGUGGAUGUCUAUGGCUCGUCUGAAAUGCUUCAGUGUACCCCGCAGAGCGGUGUAUUCGGUGUGAUACAUCUUCACCGGAGUUGAUCCUUAUGGGUCGUGUUUGUAAUGUGUGGCUCUAUGCUUCCAACCGUCUUUGAUGGGACAAUAUCUGACAAU